CCACGUUUUCCGCGCCGUAGCUAACGCAUUAAGUGCCCCGCCUGGGGAGUACGGCCGCAAGGCUAAAACUCAAAGGAAUUGACGGGGGCCCGCACAAGCGGCGGAGCAUGCGGAUUAAUUCGAUGCAACGCGAAGAACCUUACCAAGGCUUGACAUGGACCGGUAAUACCUGGAAACAGGUGCCCCGCUUGCGGUCGGUUCACAGGUGGUGCAUGGUUGUCGUCAGCUCGUGUCGUGAGAUGUUGGGUUAAGUCCCGCAACGAGCGCAACCCUUGUCCUGUGUUGCUACCGGGUAAUGCCGGGCACUCUCAGGAGACUGCCGGGGUCAACUCGGAGGAAGGUGGGGAUGACGUCGUAUCUCACUG
rnacentral:misc_RNA from 1 species